AAGGGUGUGUGUGACUGGCGUAACGUGGGGUACCACGAGGGAGCACAUAUUUUAUACGGCCGAACGCCUGGGCAGAGGUA
rnacentral:ncRNA from 2 species